rnacentral:rRNA from 1 species
AUGAACGCUGGCGGCGUGCCUCAUACAUGCAAGUCGAGCGAACAGACGAGGAGCUUGCUCCUCUGACGUUAGCGGCGGACGGGUGAGUAACACGUGGAUAACCUACCUAUAAGACUGGGAUAACUUCGGGAAACCGGAGCUAAUACCGGAUAAUAUAUUGAACCGCAUGGUUCAAUAGUGAAAGACGGUUUUGCUGUCACUUAUAGAUGGAUCCACGCCGCAUUAGCUAGUUGGUAAGGUAACGGCUUACCAAGGCAACGAUGCGUAGCCGACCUGAGAGGGUGAUCGGCCACACUGGAACUGAGACACGGUCCAGACUCCUACGGGAGGCAGCAGUAGGGAAUCUUCCGCAAUGGGCGAAAGCCUGACGGAGCAACGCCGCGUGAGUGAUGAAGGUCUUCGGAUCGUAAAACUCUGUUAUUAGGGAAGAACAAAUGUGUAAGUAACUAUGCACGUCUUGACGGUACCUAAUCAGAAAGCCACGGCUAGCUACGUG